rnacentral:lncRNA from 13 species
UUUUUUUUGAGACGGAGUUCUGCUCUUGUUACCCAGGCUGGAGUGCAAUGCCGCGAUCUCGGCUCACCGCAACCUCCGCCUCCUGGGUUCAGGCAAUUCUCCUGCCUCAGCCUCCUGAGUAGCUGGGAUUACAGGCACGCGCCACCAUGCCCAGCUAAUUUUUUGUAUUUUUAGUAGAGACGGGGUUUCACCAUGUUGACCAGGAUGGUCUCGAUUUCUGGACCUCGUGAUCCACCCGCCUCGGCCUCCCAAAGUGCUGGGAUUACAGGCUUGAGCCACCGCGCCCGGCCUCUGUUUUUAGAAUGUUUAAUAUUUCAUUUCUGAGUUAACAAACUAAGUCUUCACGUGGUUGAUGACCACUUACGUUUCAUAAGUAUAACAUUAUUUAUUUAUUUGCUUACUUACUUUGCCAAUUAUUACACCAAGAUAUGCUGGCAAAGAGAUGGCAGCUUGUACUUUUGAAAAUUCUGAGAACUGAUGUGGCCUGUUUCUGUGAUUUCCCCAUGGUGUAUGUACAUAAGCAAUAAUUAACUUACUUGUGUUUUCUGCGCUGCUGCUUCUUUCUUCUGCUAAAACAACGAGAACAUUUACACUGCAUUUGCAUUUUAACAUAAAGGGUUACUUCUGAUUUAAUACUUAAAUGGAAAUAGAUUUUCUUUCUCUCUCAACUUUUCACAGCUUUCACCAUCUAUAGCUGUCCUUGUUUACUGCUUCACAGGAAAAGGAAAAGACAAAAAAAAAAAAAAAAAGUAACAGUCCAUCAAUUGGGAAACCUGCAACUCGCCAGCAGCAAGCUUUUGUCCCUUCCAACGUUCCCCACUUGGAAUGACAGGUCCUGUCCUACUCUACAGAGCACCAACCGCCAGCGUCUGCAUACGGACUACUGGAGUAGCCUUUCAUUUGUUCCUUCUCCUUUCAAUUUCAAGUGCAGUCAUGUACUGCAAAAUGUUUUGGUCAAGGACAGACCACAUAUAGAAGAGUAACCUCGUAAGUGUGUAAAAUCGUAUUUUUACUGUAAACUCUCUGCAUUUAGAUACAUGAAUACUCAUUAUUUUCUUAAAAUUGCUUAUAGUACUUAGUGCAAUAACACGCUGUACAGGUUUAUAGCCUAGGAGUGAUCGACUACAUACCAUAUGGCCUAGAUGUGUGAAGGGCUAUGCAAUCAAGGUCUGUGCAAUUAAUCUUUGAUGUUUGUUCAAUAAGGAAAUCACCUAAUAAUUCAUUUCUCAGAACAUACAUAACUAUAUUCUUCUACAUACAUAUAGUAUGUUCUUCACACAGAAGUUUAAUGUUAAAACUGAACAUUUAUUAGGUACUUUUUCCCAGAAGACCUCCAAUGGCUACCCUAAACUCUCUAAAAUAAAACAUGGACUUCUGACUCUAAAUUGUAUGUC